CCUGAGGUCGGGAGUUCGAGAACAGCCUGGCCAACAUGGUCAAACCCGUCUCUACUAAAAAUACAAAAAUUAGCUGGACAUGGUGGCAGGCGCCUAUAAUCCCAGCUACUCAGGAGGCUGAGGCACGAGAAUCGCUUGAACCCGGGAGACAGAGGAAUAGAAUAGACUUACAUAUAAGUAAAAUUGAAUCUGAAUAAAAAAUUCUAGUGAGAAAGAAAAUUAUAACCACAAAACACUUCACCAAGCCCAGAUGUCCUCACAGGCAACUUUUAUAACUUUAAGGAACAGAAAACCUCCAUCUUACCCAAACUAAGAAACAAAAUUCAACAACCCAUGUGAAUCUAGUCACUAGCUACUGUAAGGGAAAUCUCACACCUAGCCAAAAACAUUAAAAAAAAAAAAGUAAGAAAAGGAAACCAAUAGUUCAGUUUCACCUACAUAGAUGCAAAAAUUAUGAAUAAAACAUUAGCUAGCCAAAUACAACUAUGUGUAAAACAAACAUUACCAAUCAGUAUUUAUCCCAGGAAGGCAAGGACGUUAUUUUACCAUUAGAAAGUAGCAACAUAGUGUAAUCCCAGCUAUUCGGGAGGCUGAGGCAGAGAAUUGCUUAAACUCUGGAGGAGGAGGUUGCAGCAGUGAGCUGAGAUCGCACCACUGCACCCCAGCCUGGACAACAGAGUGAGAGUACGUCUCAAAAAUAAAAUAAAAUAAAAUAAAGUAAGUAGCAAUACAGCUGGGCUUGGUGCUUUGGGCCUGUAAUCCCAGCUACUCCGGAGGCUGAGGCAGGAGAAUCUCUUGAACCCAGGAGGCGGAGGUUGCAGUGAGCCAAGAUCACCUCACUGAGCUGUCUAGCCUGGGUGACAGAGUGAGGUUCCGUCUCAAAAAAAAGAAAAAAAAAAAAAAUAGAAGCCGGGCAGGGUGGCUCAUACCUGUAAUCCCAGCACUUUGGGAGGCUGAGGUGGUCAGAUCACCUGAGGUCACAGGUUUGAGACCAGCCUGACCAACAUGUGAAACCUGAUCUCUACUAAAAAUACAAAAUUAGUCGGGCGUGGUGGCACAUGCCUGUAAUCUCAGCUAUUUGGGAGGCUGAGGCAGGAGAAUUGCUUCAACCUGGGAGGUGGAGGUUGCGGUGAGCCGAGAUCGCGCCACCGCACUGCAGCCUGGGCAACAAGAGGGAAACUCCGUCUCAAAAAAAAAAAAAAAAAAAGCAAAAUAAACGCACUGCAGCCUGGGCAACAAGAGGGAAACUCCGUCUCAAAAAAAAAAAAAGAAAAAUAAAAAAAUAAAUAAAAUGUAAAUCCUUUUGUACAUUUUCAUGGAAAACCAUAAAUAAUAUGAGAAGAAAAGCUACAAAUUAAGAGAUAUUUGUAAUGUAUAUAACUGAGAAAGAAUUGAUAUCCAAAACUUUUCUUUUAUUAUUAUUAUUAUUAUUUUUCAAAAUAUUUUUAAAACCUACAAAUAGGCCCAGCGUGGUGGCUCACACCUGUAAUCCCAGCACUUUGGGAGGCGGAGGCAGGCAGAUCACUUGAGGUCAGGAAUUCCAGACCAGCCUGGCCAAUAUGGUGAAACACCAUCUCUACUAAAAAUACAAAAAUUAGCAGGGCGUGAUGAUGGGCACCUGUAGUCCCAGCUACUUGGGAAGCUGAGGCAGGAGAAUCGCUUGAACCCAGGAGGCAGAGGUUGCAGUGAGCUGAGAUCAUGCCACUGCACUCCAGCCUGGGCAACAGAGACUCCGUCUUAAAAAAAAAAAAAAAAAAACCCCAGAACCCCCCCCAUAAAAAAAAAAAAAACCACUACAAAUAAUGAGAAAAGGACAAACCAUCCAAAAGGAAAAUGAACAAAGGAAUGAUUUCUAUGACCAAUAAACAUAUGAAACAUAUAAACAGACAAAAAGAAACUCGAUCUCUGCAGUAAUUAGGGAAAUGUAUAUUAAAACACAAAGAUACCAUCUUACAUCCUUCAGAUCGGCAAAUAUUAGCAAGCCUGCCUAUUUAAUCAAAAAUGCAUUAGGCAGCUGGGCACGGUGGCUCAUGCCCAUAAUCCCAGCACUUUGGGAUACCAAGGUGGGAGGGGAGGACUACUUGAGCUCAGAAGUUUGAGAUCAGCCUGGACAACAUAUUAAAACCUUGUCUCUACUAGAAAUAAUUUUUUUUUUUUUGAGACGGAGCCUCUCUCUCUCCCAGGCUGGGGUGCAGUGGCACGAUCUCAGCUCACUACAACCUUAGCCUCCUGGGUUCAAGCGAUUCUCCUGCCUCAGCCUCCCAGGUAGCUGAGAUUACAGGCGUGCGCUGCCAUGCCUGGCCAAUUUUUUUGUAUUUUAAUAGAGAGGGUUUCACUGUGUUUCCCAGGCUGGUCUCUAACUCCUGAGCUCAGGCACGCCACACGCCUCGGCCUCCCAAAGUGCUGGGAUUAUAGGCGUAAGCCACCGCACUGGGCAGAAAUAAAAAUUUUUAAAAAUUAGCCGGGUGUGAUGGUGGGCACCUACAGUCCCAGGUAUUCAGGAGGCUGAGGCAGGAGGAUUGCUUGAGCCUGGGAGAUCAAGGCUGUACUGAGCCGAGAUCACACCCCUGCACUCCAGCCUGGGCAACAAAGUGAGACCCUGUCUCCAAAAAAAAAAAAAAAAAAAAAAAAGAAAGAAAAGAAAUGCAUUAGGCUACAAGCAGUAGAAGAUCUAACUAAAUGACUCAGACAAAUAGGAAGUUCUUUUUCUCACAUAACAAGUCUGUGGCCAGGCGCCGUCGUGUGAGCUUGUGGUCCCAGCUACUGAGGAGGUGGGUGGGAGAAUCACCUAAACUCGGGAAGGUUUUAGCUGCAGUGAGCUGUGAUCGUGCCACUGCACUCCAGCCUGGGCAACAGAGUGAGACCCUAUCUCAAACACACAAACAAACAAGAAUUCUGGAGGUAAGUGACGUGAGCAUCGGUUCAAUUGCUCAGCCACACGUUGUUGAGGUAGCUGAUGUGCUCCCUGACAUCUCACCCAUUUUAAAGCCAUAAUCAGAGAAGAGCAAGACUAAGGCAUCAGCAUGCUUUGUCAGAAAAGCAAAAGCUUUAAAUGGCUUCCAGCCAACUUUUGCUAUACAAAAUACUUCAAACAUCCAGAAAAGAACCGAAAAUGAUAUAACUCCCACAUGUGUACCUAUGAUCGAUUCUGAACAAACACUGAUGUUUUGCCAAUUGUGCUUCUAUUUUUUUUCCUUAAUAAAACACGAGAGACACAGUGUCCAGGAUUGCAUUAUGUGGCCACCCCAGAUGAAGGGGAGAUGAGAAUGUGAGUGUUCCGUUUUCUAAUAUGUAUAAUACAGGUAGGCUGGGCAGAAAGAGUUAGACAGGUAUUGGGUUAGCCAGCCUACAGUGUCUAACACACCAACAAAAUCAAGCAUUGGAGAGCAUUUGGAUAUGGAAGAGUGCUGAGAAGGUGUGGUGGCUCAUGCCUAUAAUCCUAGUACUUUGGGAGGCUGAGGCAGGAGGAUCACUUAAGUCCAGGAGUUUGAGAGCAGCCUGGGCAACAAAGUGAGACCUUGUCUCUACAAAAAAUAAACAAAAUUAGCUGGUGGUGGCACCUGCCUGUUGUCCCAGCUACUCAGGGGGCUGAGGUGGGAGGAUGGCUUGAGCCUGGGAGAUUGAAGCUUCAGUUAGCCAUGAUCAUGCCACUGCGCUCCAGCCUGGGUGACAGAGAGAGAUCCUGCCUCAAAAAAAAAAUAAAAAUAAAAAAGAGGGGCCGGGUGUGGUGGCUCAGGCCUGUAAUCUUAGCACUCUUUGGGAGGCUGAGACUGGAGGAUCCUUUGAGCCCAGGGGUUUGAGACCAGCCUGGGCAACAUAGGGAGAACUUGUCUCUAUUUAAAAAAAAAAAUGCUCAUACGUGGUUGGCAGGAGUGUAAAUAGCCUCAACCAAUUUGGAAAGCAAUUUGCCAAUACUAGUUAAUAUAACGAUCUAGAUAGUGGGCAACCCGGAUUAGCCUUUUCCAGAUAUUUGCAGCUGGGAAGCUCUCAUACAUGUUCACAGAGAUACCUGCAAAUGUUCAUUUCAGCUUUUUUUUUUUCAAUGGCAAAAAACUGGAAAUAGCCUAUUUGUCCCUCAAUAAGAGAACUAAUAAAUACAUCUCACAAUAUACAAUCAAAGGAAUACUAUGCAGCUAUUAAAAUGAGUGAACUUAUCAACAUGCAUAAACCUUUAAGACAUAAUGCUGGUUAAAGAGGCAAGUUGCAGAAAGGUACAUAAGGUAUGGGACUAUUUAUGUAAAAUCAAAUGCACACAGAGUGACACUGUCUUUAUUGAUUCUUGCAUUUGUAAUAAAGGUGCAAACUGGGGAAGAAACACACUAACAUCAUAGCAGCAGCAAUCUCCAGGGAAGGAAAGAGACCUGUGAGGAAAGGUGACGAUGAGAGGAAGAAACUAUACCUCUAAUGUUGCAUUAAGGAAAGAAAGGCUAGGCCCAGUGGCUUCCGCCUGUAAUCCCAGCACUUUGGGAGGCCAAGGUGGGUGGAUCACUUGAGGCCAGGAGUUCAUGACCAGCCUGGCCAACAUGGUGAAACCCCAUCUGUACUAAAAAUACAAACAAUUUGCCGGGCAUGAUGGACAUACCUGUGGUCCCAGCUACUCGGGAGGCUGAGGCAUGAGAAUCUCUUGAACCUGGGAGGCGGAGGUUGCAGUGAGCUGAGAUUGCACCACUGCCCUCCAGCCUGGGUGACAGAGUGAGACUCUGCCUCUAAAGGAAGGAGAGAAGAAAAUAGAUCUGAAGCAAAUUUAUCAAAAUGCUAACUUUUGCUGUAUCUGUGUUGUAGGUUCCUAAGCAUUUGCCAUAAUGUUCUCAUUAUUUCUUUGGCUAUUUAUAAUACUUCAUAAAUUAAAAAUAAAGGAAGGAGAUGUGGUAUUUUUUCUGAAGCAGCACUUCUCAAACUUUCAUGUACAAUGUAUCCCCUGGGGAUCUUGUUAAAAUGCAGUUGCUGAGUCAGUGGCCUGGGAUGGGGCCGGAGAAUCUACACGCCUCACAAGCUCCUGUGUUGGGAUGAAGCUGGUUCCAGGGCCCCACUUAAAGAAGCAGCCUUCCAGAGAACUCUGCCCCAGGGCUCCUGAGAUGGAAGUGAAGGCCCCAGCCCAGAGGACCCUGCGUGAAGGUUCAGUGUUGGAGCCUGCAGAUGCUGACAGUGCCUGCAGCUUUCCUGCCUAUUUUAGGACUUGCUAGAAGCUUGGCAUGUCCUAAAAACCCUUUUUCAAGAGUCUCUCCCCAGCUGCUGCUAGCGGGAUUUUUUUUUUAACUCUCUAUCCUAUUUAACCUCCUCACUGAUGACCUUUUAAUGCGUAACUUUUUUUUUUUUUUUUUUUUUUGAGACGGAGUCUCGCUCUCCCAGGCUGGAGUGCAGUGGUGUGAUCUCGGCUCACUGCAACCUGUGCCUCCCAGGUUCAAGCGAUCUCCUGCCUCAGCCUCCCCAGUACCUAGGAUUACAGGUGCGCGCCUCCAGCAUAGCUAAUGUUUGUAUUUUUAGUAGAGACGGGGUUUCACCAUGUUGGCCAGGCUGGUUAUGCAUAACUUUUUAUCACAGAUGUUUGAUCUCAGUUUUAAUCUUUUCAACAUUUGUAAACCCUUGGUUCAUUGUGCUUCUCCCUUUAUUACUCUUUUUUUUUUUUUUUUUUUUUUUUUUUUGAGACGGAGUUUCGCUCUUGUUGCCCAGGCUGGAGUGCAGUGGCGCACUCUCGGUUCACUGCAAUCUCCACCUCAUAGGUUCAAGCGAUUCUCCUGCCUCAGCCUCCUGAGUAGCUGGGAUUACAGGCACACGCCACCAUGCCUGGCUAAUUUUUCUUUUUCUUUUUUGUAUUUUUAGUAGAGAUGGGGUUUCACUAUGUUGGCCAGACUGGUCUUGAACUCCUGACCUCGUGAUCUGCCCACCUCAGACUCCCAAAGUGCUGGGAUUACAGGUGUGAGCCACCGUGCCUGGCCUAAUUUUGUAUUUUUAGUAGAGACGGGGUUUCUCCAUGUUGGUCAGGCUGGUCUCGAACUCCUGACCUCAGGUGAUCUGCUCGUCUUGGCCUCCCAAAGUGUUGGGAUUAUAGGCAUAAGCCACCACAACCGACCUGACUGCUCAUUUUUAAACUCUUGAUCUGACACUGGGGGACUUUAAGCUAUAAUCUUGUUCUGUUUUUUUUCUUUUUCUCUUGCCUUCUAUGCUUUCCAUUUUAUUGCUUUAUUUAUUUAUUGAGACAGGGUCUCACUCUGGAGUGCUGGAGUAUGGUGGCAUGAUCAGGGCUCACUGCAGCCCUGACCUCCAGGGCUCAGGGGAUCCUCCCACCUCACCCUCCCAAGUAGCUGGUACUACAGGCACAUACCACCAUGCCCAGCUAAUUUUCUAAUUUUCUGUAGAGAUGAGGUCUCACUGCAUU
rnacentral:lncRNA from 1 species